rnacentral:lncRNA from 1 species
CCUAUCAGAAGAGUUCUAGAGACCUCCUUGGUGACCUGGCAACCUCUCUCGGGUGACAACACUGCAGCAGGCCACAGUUACCCUUCUCCUGUCAACUCUGCUUUAAUGAAACUCAUACAUUAAGUUUGAUGAUGGUGCUGUUGUAUAAGAACAAUGAAGAGGAGGAAAAGAUGAAGAACUACUUUUCCUAUCAAAGCCUUGGAACAAGCCCACUCUACUUCCCGGACCUGAUUUUGGAGUUGUGAGUUGGUAAGUUAAGAAGGGAAGAGGUAGGGGCCACUAAGUUGAAAGGGAGGAUUAACAGUCAGCCUAAACCAAAGACACAAAGGAGACAACGGAGAUGAGAAACGAUGCGGGAUCCUGCCAGACAUUUGAGAUCUUUGCACUAGAUGUGAAACCACUCAGAGUCUGUGUCUCAAACAAAAUGCACACACAGUCUUGCAUGGCGCUCUCCUUUAUCGAGCAACAUCAGGGAAUGAGCUGGCCCAGAGAGUUAAUCUUGCAAUCAAAUAUACUGCAGCCAGAAGGAACACAGAGACACCUUGGGAACAACACUGAACCUCACUCACUCCUCGGCAAACCUCGGCGGCUGCAUUACAUCAUUCUGAACACGGUCUCAUCACUGGCCCUGAAAAUCUGAUCUAAUGAAGCUUCAAGUACAGAGAAGAGGAGGAAGAAGGGGGAGGAAGAGGAGGAGAAGGAGGAGGAGCUAAGAAAAUAUAAUGUUAUUAAUUAACAGAGUGGCCCGCACAAAUAAUCUUUAAAAGUGUAUAUGUGGUGUACAUAUGCAUAAGCAUCCACCUGUGUCUGCAUUGGUAUAUGUCCAUGUGCAUGUAUGUGUUCAUGUGCACGUGAGGCUAGAGGUCAAUGCUAAGUGUAUUCCUCUGUUGCACUCCACCUUGCUUUGUGAGAUGGGGUAGCUCAAUAAACCUAGAGUCUUCAAUUUGGGCUUGUCAGCAAACCACAUGGAUCACCUGUCUCUGCCUCCUAGUGUCA